UGCAGUCGAACGGCAGCGCGAGAGAGCUUGCUCUCUUGGCGGCGAGUGGCGGACGGGUGAGUAAUAUAUCGGAACGUGCCCAGUAACGGGGGAUAACUACUCGAAAGAGUGGCUAAUACCGCAUACGCCCUACGGGGGAAAGGGGGGGAUCGCAAGACCUCUCACUAUUGGAGCGGCCGAUAUCGGAUUAGCUAGUUGGUGGGGUAAAGGCUCACCAAGGCAACGAUCCGUAGCUGGUUUGAGAGGACGACCAGCCACACUGGGACUGAGACACGGCCCAGACUCCUACGGGAGGCAGCAGUGGGGAAUUUUGGACAAUGGGGGAAACCCUGAUCCAGCCAUCCCGCGUGUAUGAUGAAGGCCUUCGGGUUGUAAAGUACUUUUGGCAGAGAAGAAAAGGUAUCCCCUAAUACGGGAUACUGCUGACGGUAUCUGCAGAAUAAGCACCGGCUAACUACGUGCCAGCAGCCGCGGUAAUACGUAGGGUGCAAGCGUUAAUCGGAAUUACUGGGCGUAAAGCGUGUGUAGGCGGUUCGGAAAGAAAGAUGUGAAAUCCCAGGGCUCAACCUUGGAACUGCAUUUUUUAACUGCCGAGCUAGAGUAUG
rnacentral:rRNA from 1 species